GAUCAUGGCUCAGGAUGAACGCUAGCGGCAGGCUUAAUACAUGCAAGUCGAGGGGCAGCGGGAGUAGCAAUACUUGCCGGCGACCGGCGCACGGGUGCGUAACACGUAUGUAAUCUGCCCAUCACAGGAGGAUAGCCCGGAGAAAUUCGGAUUAAUACUCCAUAAUAGAAGAUAAAGCAUUUUAUUUUCUUGAAAGUUCCGACGGUGAUGGAUGAACAUGCGACUGAUUAGUUUGUUGGUGAGGUAACGGCUCACCAAGACUACGAUCAGUAGGGGUACUGAGAGGUUAAACCCCCACACUGGUACUGAGACACGGACCAGACUCCUACGGGAGGCAGCAGUAAGGAAUAUUGGACAAUGGCCGCGAAGGCUGAUCCAGCCAUGCCGCGUGCAGGAAGACGGACCUAUGGUUUGUAACUGUCUUUGGAACGGGAACGAAACCCCCUACGUGUAGGGGGCUGAUAGUACUGUUAGAAUAAGCAUCGGCUAACUUCGUG
rnacentral:rRNA from 1 species